CUUCCUGCUGCCGUUCCAUCUGACUUCAACAGCAUACUCACGUUACUCCAGGACUGGAGAGUCACUACGAGCUGUGUGUGGAAGCUAGGCUAACUAGCUGAGCAAACUUAGCGCCCUUGGAAGCGGAAGGAGGACAGAAGACCCGUUCUUUUCAAACGGCGUGGUACACACGCAAAGGCUGGCUGUGUGGAUGUCCGACUCCAGCAAGAAAGCACAAAACCAGUAACAGUGAUGGCAAAGCAGGGAACUACGAUAACAACCAUAGAACCACACGGAUUCCAUUCAGC